rnacentral:rRNA from 1 species
GUUGCGCCCGAGGCUUGUCCAAGGGCAUUUCCGCUAGAGCGUCACC